rnacentral:rRNA from 1 species
CAGUAGCCACGGUAAUACGGAGGGUGCAAGCGUUAAUCGGAAUUACUGGGCGUAAAGGGCGCGUAGGCGGCGAUCAAAGUCAGGCGUGAAAUUCCUGGCUCAACCUGGGGGCUGCGCUUGAUACUUGGUUGCUUGAGUGGGGAAGAGGGUCGUGGAAUUCCCAGUGUAGAGGUGAAAUUCGUAGAUAUUGGGAAGAACACCGGUGGCGAAGGCGGCGACCUGGUCCUUGACUGACUCUGAGGCGCGAAAGCGUGGGGAGCAAACAGGAUUAGAUACCCCUGUAGUCCCUGUCUCUUAUACA